rnacentral:rRNA from 1 species
UACGGAGGGGGCUAGCGUUGUUCGGAAUUAUUGGGCGUAAAGGGCGCGUAGGCGGCUUGACAAGUCCGACGUGAAAUCCCGCGGCUCAACCGCGGAACUGCGUUGGAAACUGUCUGGCUUGAGUUCCGGAGAGGGUAGCGGAAUUCCCAAUGUAGCGGUGAAAUGCGUAGAUAUUGGGAGGAACACCAGUGGCGAAGGCGGCUACCUGGACGGAUACUGACGCUGAGGCGCGAAAGCGUGGGGAGCAAACAGG